rnacentral:rRNA from 1 species
CGCGAGUCAUUGGGUUAGUACUAAAUCUAAAGGCGAAAUGAAAGUGAAGGUCUCGCCUCGUGCGGACCGAGGGUAGAUGGGGCGCGCUCACAAGGCGCGGCUCCCGCAUAUCCGGGGCGUCUCGUUCUCAUUGCGAGUUGAGGCGCACCCAGAGCGUACACGUUGGGACCCGAAAGAUGGUGAACUAUGCCUGGCCAGGACGAAGUCAGGGGAAACCCUGAUGGAGGUCCGUAGCGAUUCUGACGUGCAAAUCGAUCGUCGGAGCUGGGUAUAGGGGCGAAAGACUAAUCGAACCAUCUAGUAGCUGGUUCCCUCCGAAGUUUCCCUCAGGAUAGCUGGUGCUCGAACGAGUCUCAUCCGGUCAAGCGAAUGAUUAGAGGCCUUGGGGCCGAAACGACCUCAACCUAUUCUCAAACUUUAAAUGGGUGAGAUCUCCGGCUUGCUUAAAGCAUUGAAGCCGCGAGAUUGUAAAGAUUUGGAUCGGAGUGCCAAGUGGGCCACUUUUGGUAAGCAGAACUGGCGCUGUGGGAUGAACCAAACGUAGAGUUAAGGCGCCCGAAUAGACGCUCAUGGGAAACCAUGAAAGGCGUUGGUUGCUUAAGACAGCAGGACGGUGGCCAUGGAAGUCGGAAUCCGCUAAGGAGUGUGUAACAACUCACCUGCCGAAGCAACUAGCCCUGAAAAUGGAUGGCGCUGAAGCGUCUUGCCUAUACUCUGCCGUCAGUACGGCAAUGAGGGGUGCGCGGUUCCGCUUCGGCGGGCCCGCCCCGUGAGGCCCUGACGAGUAGGAGGGUCGCGGCGGUGAGCGCAGAAGGGUCUAGGCGUGAGCCUGCCUGGAGCCACCGUCGGUGCAGAUCUUGGUGGUAGUAGCAAAUACUCCAGCGAGGCCCUGGAGGACUGACGUGGAGAAGGGUUUCGUGUGAACAGCCGUUGCACACGAGUCAGUCGAUCCUAAGCCCUAGGAGAAAUCCGAUGUCGAUGGGGUCCGAGACUAAAUAAAAACAGAUAGGACCCCAUGGGGCGAAAGGGAAUCCGGUUCCUAUUCCGGAACCCGGCAGCGGAACCGUAAUAAGUCGGGCCCAUCGCAAGAGAAGCUCGUCGGGGUAACCCAAAAAGACCCGGAGACGCCGUCGGGAGAUCGGGGAAGAGUUUUCUUUUCUGCAUGAGCGUUCGAGUUCCCUGGAAUCCUCUAGCAGGGAGAUAGGGUUUGGAACGCGAAGAGCACCGCAGUUGCGGCGGUGUCCCGAUCUUCCCCUCGGACCUUG